CAAUAAUCACAGGUUUUUCUUCAACAGCGUGAUGGACGAGGAAAGAAGGAAAAGAACCAAGAGAACUACAUUGGAUCAACUUGAAGAGGGAAGAGUUUUCUUCUAGCUCUGGUGAAGAGUUUGAAUAUAGCGAUGAUGAAUUUUUAUACGGCUCCAUAAAUUCUGGAAUAGAUUACUGGGAGGAUGAUAGUUAUUAUUCUGAUGGGGAAAUUGAAAAAGAUGAUGUUGAUCCUGACCAAUUAUCCUAUGAGGAGCUGAUUGCCCUUGGAGAGAUGGUGGGAGUAGAGAACAAGGGAUUAUCACAAGAUGAAAUUGCUAAAUAUUUACGUCCACGUACAUGCAACUCUACCUCCAAUUUGAUUAUUGACAGGUGCGUGAUAUGUCAAGUGGAGUAUGAAGUGGGGGAGGAUCUAGUUAGCCUGCAGUGUGAUCAUCUUUACCACAGUGAUUGUAUAUCCAAAUGGCUUCAAAUUAACAAGAUUUGUAACAACGAGGUCUGUACAGCAACUUCCUCGAACGAAAAGAACAGUGCAUAGUUAGGAUGAUUUAUGUAGUGAACUAUUUAUAACUUGGUAGAUGAUUUCAUAGAAGUAUUUUUAGUUCUUUAGUGUUGUACUAUUCUUUUAUAAACAAAAAUAAAAAGAUGAAAAUUG